rnacentral:lncRNA from 1 species
GAAUAAGUAUAUCAACAUACAUGGACUACAAUAAAGCAUAAAAUUAAUAACAUACGAUCUAAAAAUAAAAUGAUAGACGACGUUAUUGUUCUUCUUGGUCACGUUGGUGCCAUUGAUUGAAUUUGUUUAACAAUUCAUUGAUUCGAUCUAAAAACGAAUCAUUGAUAUUAGCAGGCGUCUGACUAUUCUCAAAUCUCUGAGUAUUAGUGUUUUGUUGUGUUCCCAAUCUAAAAUCCCCGAAGAUUGUCAAUCCGUCAUGCUCACCUGCACUGUUGCUGUUGGGACUCGAUAUCUGAAUAAUAUGGCUGGGAUAGGGUGGCAUCAGAAUCAUCAUCUCUCUCAUUUUCUCUUUGAAUAAUAUGGAUUAAAAAAUAAUAAUAACAAAUUUUCAAAAAAAUCGAUCAUGGAUUAAAAAAAAAAAUCACAAAUUUUCAAAAAAUUCUAUCAUGGAUUACAAAAAAAAAUUCGAUCAUGGAUUACAAAAAAAAAUCACAAAUUUUCAAAAAAUUCAAUCAUGGAUUACAAAAAAUUCGAUCAUGGAUUACAUAAAAUUCAAUCAUGGAUUACAUACAAUUCGAUCAUGGAUUACAAAUAAAAAAAAAACAUAAAAAAACAAAAAAUUCGAACGUGGAUUACAAGAACAGAAAAAAACAAUUCGAUCAUGGAUUACACGAAAAAAAAACAAACAUUUCGAUCAUGGAUUACAAAAAAGUCGAUCAUGGAUUACAGAAAAUUCUAUCAUGGAUUACAAAAAAUUCGAUCAUAGAUUACAUAAAAUUCGAUCAUGGAUUAAAAAAACAAAACACAAAAAAAAAAA